GACGAACGCUGGCGGCGUGCUUAACACAUGCAAGUCGAACGGAAAGGCCCUGCUUUUGUGGGGUGCUCGAGUGGCGAACGGGUGAGUAACACGUGAGUAACCUGCCCUUGACUUUGGGAUAACUUCAGGAAACUGGGGCUAAUACCGGAUAGGAGCUCCUGCUGCAUGGUGGGGGUUGGAAAGUUUCGGCGGUUGGGGAUGGACUCGCGGCUUAUCAGCUUGUUGGUGGGGUAGUGGCUUACCAGGGCUUUGACGGGUAGCCGGCCUGAGAGGGUGACCGGCCACAUUGGGACUGAGAUACGGCCCAGACUCCUACGGGAGGCAGCAGUGGGGAAUAUUGCACAAUGGGCGGAAGCCUGAUGCAGCAGCGCCGCGUGCGGGAUGACGGCCUUCGGGUUGUAAACCGCUUUCGCCUGUGACGAAGCGUGAGUGACGGUAAUGGGUAAAGAAGCACCGGCUAACUACGUGCCAGCAGCCGCGGUGAUACGUAGGGUGCGAGCGUUGUCCGGAUUUAUUGGGCGUAAAGGGCUCGUAGGUGGUUGAUCGCGUCGGAAGUGUAAUCUUGGGGCUUAACCCUGAGCGUGCUUUCGAUACGGGUUGACUUGAGGAAGGUAGGGGAGAAUGGAAUUCCUGGUGGAGCGGUGGAAUGCGCAGAUAUCAGGAGGAACACCAGUGGCGAAGGCGGUUCUCUGGGCCUUUCCUGACGCUGAGGAGCGAAAGCGUGGGGAGCGAACAGGCUUAGAUACCCUGGUAGUCCACGCUGUAAACGGUGGGUACUAGGUGUGGGGUCCAUUCCACGGGUUCCGUGCCGUAGCUAACGCUUUAAGUACCCCGCCUGGGGAGUACGGCCGCAAGGCUAAAACUCAAAGGAAUUGACGGGGCCCCGCACAAGCGGCGGAGCAUGCGGAUUAAUUCGAUGCAACGCGUAGAACCUUACCUGGGUUUGACAUGGAUCGGGAGUGCUCAGAGAUGGGUGUGCCUCCUUUGGGGUCGGUUCACAGGUGGUGCAUGGCUGUCGUCAGCUCGUGUCGUGAGAUGUUGGGUUAAGUCCCGCAACGAGCGCAAUCCUUGUUCACUGUUGCCAGCACGUUAUGGUGGGGACUCAGUGGAGACCGCCGGGGUCAACUCGGAGGAAGGUGGGGAUGACGUCAAGUCAUCAUGCCCCUUAUGUCCAGGGCUUCACGCAUGCUACAAUGGCUGGUACAGAGAGUGGCGAGCCUGUGAGGGUGAGCGAAUCUCGGAAAGCCGGUCUCAGUUCGGAUUGGGGUCUGCAACUCGACCUCAUGAAGUCGGAGUCGCUAGUAAUCGCAGAUCAGCAACGCUGCGGUGAAUACGUUCCCGGG
rnacentral:rRNA from 1 species